rnacentral:tRNA from 2 species
GCGGGUGUAGUUCAAUGGCAGAACACCAGUUUUCCAAACUGGAUACGGGAGUUCGAUUCUCCUCACCCGCUCAA